UUAAGUCCCGCAACGAGCGCAACCCUUGCUCUUAGUUACCAGCGCGUCAUGGCGGGGACUCUAAGAGGACCGCCGCCGUAAGGCGGAGGAAGUGGGGAUGACGUCAAGUCCUCAUGGCCCUUAUGUCUUGGGCUACACACGUCCUACAAUGGUCGGUACAGAGGGAUGCCAACCCGCGAGGGUGAGCCGAUCCCUUAAAGCCGGUCCCAGUUCAGAUUGCAGUCUGCAACUCGACUGCAUGAAGUCGGAAUCGCUAGUAAUCGCGGAUCAGCAUGCCGCGGUGAAUACGUUCCCGGGGUUU
rnacentral:rRNA from 1 species